GCUAACUUCCUUUAUAAUAGACAAGCUGAACAUUUCAUAGUAAUACAAGAGUUUGUUAUUUCUCUUACAUUAUUGUUCAGUUUCACCUUCUUCGUGGUCACAUUGCUUAUACAAUAUACGUAACACAAGCUUCGGUUACUAUAUACAUACACAAGCAGAGCAUCCACGCGUCUGAUUUCUACAUUUCACGAAUAAGAUUCAUCUUACCAAGAGAUAUUUAUGUCAUUGAUUUUUACAUUUUCUAAAUGACAACAUUACUUCCCUGCAUUUCCCUCGACGAAUAAAACACAGCACAGGAUGAGCUCAUCAAUGACAUCUCAUGAAUCUUGCUGAGGUUUUGGAUAAAUAACAGUGUUAUCACUAUGGUCGAGGUAAGAGAGUAGUCAUUGUUAAUUGGUUGGAUGUUGACAGAUUUGGGUUGCUCAAAAAUUGGUCUGCUUCAAGCAAAUCUCUCUCCAUGAAAAAACCAGGUUGCUUAGGAUGCGGCAGCUUCAUAUUGCUGCUCAACAUUAGAAUUACCUCAGACAUGACUGGCCUGUCCUUUGGAUCUUGUUGAACGCAAAGUAAUCCAAUUUGUAUAACUCGCAAGGCUUCAUAAUGGUUAUUGGGCUCCAAGAUCACUCCAUCAAUGAGUUCCAACAGUUUGCCUUGUUUGUAACUCACCCAUGCCUAAAAUUUAAUUAUGUAACUUAUCAGUGGUAAGAAGCAUAUAGCAUGAGGAACGUCAUAGACACUUAGUAUAUUUAUACUCACAUGCCCAAGUAGGUUUAAGCUGUGAUCAUGAUGAAUGAAUAAUCUGUUUUUCAUUCCACUUGCUAUCUCUACUAGUAAAACGCCAAAGCUGUAGACAUCGGAUUUAACAGAAAAUUGUCCAUCAAUAGCAUACUCUGGGGACAUGUAACCACUGCAAGAUUAGAAAAUGGAUACAAAUUAUCAGUUGUCAAUUGUCAUGCAAAGAAAACAUAUAAGUGCAAAGUCAUAGGAAUUCUUACUAUGUACCGACAACUCUUAACGUUUUUGCUUCACUUUCAUUUCCUCCGAAACUUCUUGCCAAGCCAAAGUCUGAAAUCUUUGGAUUCAUAUCAUGAUCAAGUAAUAUGUUACUGGCUUUGAGAUCUCUGUGUAUGAUCCUCAGCUUUGAAUCUUGAUGAAGAUAAAGAAGUCCUCUAGCAAUGCCAAUUAUUAUGUUGUAUAGCCUCGGCCAGUCCAUUGUAUUUCUUACGUUACUAUCUAUUCAUGUCAUCAAAUUAGACCAGUUCUCUAUAUAUGGGUACAUACAUGACAAAUCUUAGACAAUUGACAUAAUAUAUAUUCAGGUUGGGUCAUACCAAAAAUGAAUGAAUCUAGACUUUUGUUAGCCAGAUAUUCGUAGAUCAAAAUCCUUUCUCCUUUCUCUGUGCAGCAGCCAAGAAGCGUCACUAGAUUUCUGUGCUGAAGUUUGGCAAUACACGAAACUUCAUUUUUAAACUCAUCUAGUCCUUGACUUGAAUUUUUUGACAGCCUUUUCACCGCUAUUUCCAGUCCAUCAGCCAAUUUGCCCUGAAAAUAAGUUGUUAUGUGUGUACAUCUAUAUAUAUUUGAAUUGACUCGGUGUACAUUUAAGAGCCAUAUUAUUUGAAUUUCCCUUUCACAGAACACUUAACAUCUAUAUCUCAUUACCAUUUUAAUUCUAACAUAGAGAGUUCACAGACAAAUAAUUCUAUGUGUUACACAUGGUAAAAUACACGUUUAUUAGGUAAAUGUAUAUAUGAAUUCUUUUUGUUAUAUGUGGUACAGAUACUUCUAUUGUUGCAGAUAAACUUUUCCUACAGUAUAGUGAGACAAUGUUAGCUUGCUGCAAAAAUUGUCUACAUAUAAUCACCUUGUAUACAGGUCCAAAGCCACCCUCUCCGAGUAUCAUAUCUCGGGAAAAGUUACUUGUGGCAUUUGCAAUGCUUUGGAAGUCAAAUAAGGGCAACUCCAGAUCUUCAUUCUCAAUUUUGGUCAAGGCAACACUUUCCAAAUUCAACGUCAAUUUUUCUGCAGUGAUUCAAUAUGGAACAGAGGGGGAUUCUGAGGUCAUAAUUAGUUUUGCUGAUAAUAACUGUGAAGGAUUAGACACCUAUGAUUUAUAUCAUAUUUUUCGGACAGAACUAUAACUUAUAUAGGGACUACUUUGGGAAAAUCAAAUGACACGUCCCUCAACUAUUCCGGUUUAAUGCGAUAGGUCUCAACAAAAGAUUCCGCAAACCGGGUCAUUUAACUGUAAAUUUUUUUGAAUCAGGCUCUUUUUUAUGUUUUAAUUUCAUUUUAUGUGUUUAAUUUCUUUUUUUGUCCUGAAUUUCAUUUAAAGUUAGUAAAGUUAACUGCCUCGUCAGUAAGAUUCUGACGCCGUCAGAAUCUUUUUAACGGAAGGGCCUGAACCAAAAAAAUUGAAAGCUAAAUGACCCGAUUUGUGGAAUCUUUUGUUCAGGGACCUAUCGCAUAAAAUCGGGAUAGUUUAAGGAUAUAUCAUUUGAUUUUCCCGGACUACUUACUAUAUCUACUUGGUCAAAUUUCAUAUCUCCCUUUCUUGAAUAACAGUAUUGUAACAGAGACUAGUUUACCUUCUUUCUGCAGCUUUCUGUUCUUGCAUGCUACAAGGAAGAUUCGGCCAAGUAGCACUACUACCAGUACUGAAGCAAUGAGAAUGAACUCUAAUUUCCACUUCACUCUGGAACUGCGUAUUUUUACUGUGCGAAACAAAUACUAUAAAUUUACAAAAAAUUGUCAAAAAGCAAAGAUGAGUUGGAGUAAAAAAAAAGAGGACACAAAAUAUUCGCGAAGGUCUGUCUUACCUAUUUCAGACGAUGGCAUUCUUACGUAGAUAUCUUCUCCUUCUACUGUGUAGUCUCUAAUAUCAAUUAGGUCAGAAAACCAUAAGAUACAUCCAUGUCCACCUCUUCUGACAUCUGCAGUUGCAUAAGCUGUACAAGAACAGUUUUUCCGACAUGAUAUCUCACAUUCUUGAAGGUUCAUUUUCAUGUUAUACCAUGAGUGACGUGUGUCUGGUAACUUCACACCAGAAUAUUUCAUAAAGCCCUCCUCCCUCCCACAAACUAGAUUAGUUUUGCGGAUGCAUCCACCAGACCAAUCCGCUGCUUUCCACUCCUCUUGAAAUUUCGGAACAAAUCCCCUCAAGCAUUCACAUCUUGGUGCACUGUUGAUCUUACAUAUUCCAUAUACACCGCAUAGUCCAUAAUGAUCACAGUCACUGUCCUGCAUAGUAACGUAAACCAUCCAGAUUUGUUGUUGAUCAUUCCACACAAGAAGUUUUGAAUCUCCGGUUGGAGUCAGUACAAACCUCAUUAUAGCAGAAGUUGUAUUGAUGAGAUGAAACCUAUAGUAGAUUUCCUCUUCAUUGAAAACAAACACGUCUUUAAAAAGUCCAUUCGGGUUUUUGUUGGGAAGACCACCAAAUUUAUAACCAUUCCAUAGUCCUGUCCUCUUCCAAAUCACCGAAUCUUUUGACAGAAAAUAUUGUGGAAAACCAUUAGGAUCAAGUCCAUGGGAAAAACUGCCAACUGAUGGAUCAACGUCACUUCUCCACGAUGAAACGAUCCUGUUCAGACCGGUUACCAGGUCUAUCCCGUCUUUCAUGCCAGGUAGCAAAUUGUCUCCAGGGUGAUCAAAGCUCUGCCAUAUAAAAUCUUCUACGCUGUUAAAAUCAGGAUGCCCUUCCCUUAAAACUAAAUUCCCUGUAUCUAAUAGCUGUGCAACAGGAUUCUUCAUGGAUACAGACGUAUUCGAUGACCAUAUUAUUCCAGUACUACUAUCCACCAAUUGCAAUGUAAUUCCCUUGUGAUUGACCUGCACUAAGCCUGAGGUAUUCAUAAGAGGAUUAUCUCUAUUAGCAACCCAAACAACUGUCCCUCUGGAUAUUUUCUUGUACCAGAUGCCCAGAUAUCGAUUCGUUGAACUUCCUGGACUGAAAAAUCCAAGUUCAAACUCUCCACCUGCUGAUGUGAUAGUAUCACCAUCUCGUAAGGUCUGAUGCAUUCUGAUGGUAUCUACUGCCACAGACCUUGUUAUUGUACAGAUUAAAAUGUAGCAAGCCAAAAUGAAAGUAUUCAACUCCAUUAUCUUGCAAAAUGAAUGUAGUUUGCAUAACUUAACCACAAUCAAGGUGAACCAAAUACUAUAUAUAGUACCAACAAUUUCAGUAUAGCCACUUGGAUACUUUAAAUACCUAUCCUUAAAAAUAAAAAAUUAUAUUCCUACGAGUUAUUGAAGCUGACUUUGAUUAUAAUAUACAGUAGAGGUUAAAAUGGAACAGUGUAAGUCAACUCCAUUAUAUUGCAGAACUCUUCUAGCUUGCUAUAUCUGUUGCUAGUAAUGCAUAACUUGACCCCAACCAAGAAAAAACCAAUUUUUCAGUUUAAAAAAAACAUUUUUGUCUCUGUCAAACUUAGUCACUUGGAUUUGGAUACCUAAAUUAAUAUAAAACUUAUACUAUUAUUAGUAAUGAAAGCUUGAGUCUCUGAUUAUAAUAAUCAGUUAGCACUUGGGUCUGAUUGGUAGAUUUUAAUAAAAACGAAUUGCUUCGUACUCAGAUGUCGGUUCUUGACCUGUUCAAUCUGAUAUAGGAAUAUGAUAUUAGUGAUUAAAUCUUGACUUUGAUCAAAAGAGUUCAGAAUCUAAGCACCUUAUCACUAGCAGUGACCUGGUCUCUCAGCAGGCAUUUAUAUGAAGCGAAAUGUUCAAUUCUAAGUUCCAAGGUCAAAGGUUGCUAUGCAAACUGAAUAGACUUAUGACAUGGUAUUGAUCUGUUUUGAAUAAGGAUAUAUGAGCCUUUUUGGGUAAAUACUAAUGAUAUGGUAUUGAUAUGUUUUCGGCUAAUGUCAAAAGGUCUCAUACUAAUGAAAUUAUUUGACUACUUGUUCGUAAAAUGAUUGUUUCUUGUCUGGUAGGAUUUGGGUGUUGUGAUUCUGCAUACAAGAAAGUGAGGAAGUGAAAGAUAAAAUGAUUGAAUCAGUUUCUUCAAAUACAAUAUGCGCAUAGAAAGAAAGGUUUGGUUUUGAUGAAUAGUGAUUAAAAUUCUUAAAAACAGAUGUCUGUUGAUUGUCACCCAUUGUAAAUUCUAAGUGCAUGAGUGUUGACAAAAGAUUAAGUUCAAUCUUCUUCUUUUUUUUAAAAGAAAAAUAAUUUAAUAAUGAAAAGUCAUACGGCAUCUACAGAUAUAAUUGAAAUUGAACAAACACAUAAUCAUAUCGCUGUUAAAUCCUUCCUUCUUCGGUAGGCAACUAAGCGAUUUUUGAAGAGAUAUGUACGUGCUCUAAUACUUUCAAUAUUGUUUUGAGCAAUCGAUCAUAAAUGCAUCACCAUACAAACCUUUAUUACUGAAUCAAAACCAUGAAAAUCUCGCGGAUCUGUAAUCCCGAACAUGAUGAACAAUACAAAACCCACACAAAAACCAAACUCUCACGAGGAGAGACCAAACAAAACCCAAAUAAAUUGGGAACUUACUGGAAAAAAACAAGAGAUUAAUUAAUACUCCCUCCUUCCCAUUUUAAUAGUCUUGUUUGUUAAGAAAAAAUUCUCAUAUUAUUUGUCCUUCUUCUUUGUCCAAUACAAAUUUUAUACAAGUUUCAAUGUUAACAUUUAUUAGCUCACACGAUUUUCAUGAUUUACUAUGCAAACUUACUCAUACAAUCAGGGACGUAUCCAGGAUCAGCAACUUAUGGGGGCAAUGUAUAUACUCCGUGUGUCCCUCUCAUUUUUUUACAUUUUUUAAGACGCCUUCCAUAACUUUUUUCUAGAAAUUUUUCUUUUUUAUAUAAAAAUUAGAUAACAAAUAUAUAUUCAAAAGAAAAAAAUACAAAAUAAUUUAUCAAAUUAUAUCUUAUGAGAGCAUUAGAAUCUGUUUUUGGAUUGUGUUUCUGCUGAAUACACUGCUGCUUGGCCAUUCAGUUCUUUAAAAAAAUAAAAUGAAGCUUUGAAGAGUUGAACACUGGCAAAUACAUUAAUAUACCAACACAAGAACCAUGGGGGCAAUCCUUACUUGCUGAAAAGUUAGUAGUACUAACUUAUAAAAUCUACGCAGGGCACUGGGGGCAAGUACCCCCACUGCCCCCGGUGUAGAUACGUCCCUGCAUACAAUCAUAUGCUUCAUGUAUUCAGUAAUCUUUCUGAUUCUAUUUUAAGAGUUUACUAGCUUAUCUGUUACACAUGGUACUGGAAAUGUACUUAGCUACAUGUACUUGUGAAAAACGUUAGUUUAUUGCGUAUAUUUAUGGACAUGUAAUGUAUCUCACCUUGUAUACAGGUCCAAAGCCACCCUCUCCAAGUUUGUUGUCUGGCCAGAAGUUACUUGUGGCAUUUGCAAUGCUUUGGAAGUCGAAUAAUGGCAACUCCAGAUCUUCUUUCUCAGUUCUGGUCAAGGCAACACUUUCCAAAUUCAGUUUGAAGCUUUCUGCAAUGAUUGAAGGGCAACAAAUGCACAUUGAUGUAGUGCUGAAAUAAUUUCUACGAAAUUUCUGAUUAUUCCCCGAGGAUCCCUUUAUUAUGGUACUAUCGUAUUUACUCGGUGGGAAUUCAAAAUCUUCCUUUCCAAUUAUUAGUACUCCACUGUUUUUGACUUUUUUACAUGUAUUUUAAGGUGUUAGAAAAAUCACAUUUAAACAUAAUUAUUCUUUAUAAAAUUUAUAUCAAUUAAAAGUUUAGAAUCUAAAUUUUUAUCUGAUAUAAGAGUUGAUUUUUUUUAUUGAGUGUAGAUAUUAUUUUUUUACACCUCAAUAUACGUGUAAAAAAGUUGAACAUCAGCUAAAAUGGGACGAGAAUAGUAAAUAAUUACCUCUUUCUGCAGCUUUUUCUUCUUGUUUACUGGAAGAAAUAUUCCGCCAAGCAGUACUACUGCUAGUAUGGCUAAAAUGAGAAUGAACUCUAGCAUCCACUUUGCUCUGCGACUCUUUACUGCAUUAGUCAAAAUAUUUAACUUCCAAAGAAUACACCAUCAAAAAGCAAAUAGCUGAGGUACUAAUUUUAUAGAGCAAGAGUUGUUGUACAAAGAGUGAAGACACGAAGUAUUCACGAAGGUAGUCUUACCUAAUUCAGACGAAGGCAUUCUUACAUAUAUAUCUUGUCCAUCUUCAGAAUAGUCUCUAAUAUCAAUUAGCUUAGUAAACCAUAAGACACAUACAUGUCCACCUCUUCUAACAUCUGCAUUUGCAAAAGCUGUACAAGAACAGUUUUUGAGGCACAAUUUCUCACAUUCUUGAAGGUUCAUAUUCGUGUUAUACCAGGAGUGACGUGUGUCAGGUAACUUCACACCCGAAUAUUGCACAAAACCCUCAUCAGUCCCGCAGACAAAGAUUAUUCUGCCAUUUGUUAUAAUGUUAUUUUUUCUCGAUUUGAACUUACAUCUAAUAUCGCUCCAAUCGUUAGAAAACUUUCCGCCAUUAAAUAUUUUUAAUAUCGACAGUUUGAAACUUACUUUCAAUAAUUUCGAAACCGAAAAAGUUACUUUUAAAACUUCAUUCCAAUAUACUCAAAACGAACCGAAACUUCCUUCCAAUAAUUUCGAAACCGAAAAAAGUAAUUUUAAAAUUUUCUUCCAAUAUAUCCAAACUAAUAAGAUAAUUUUUAUUUUGGAUAUUUAUAAUUUAAAAUUUUCAUAAAAUUAGAAAAAAUAUAACAGAGAAUAUUUUUUUCCCUCAAUUUUUCCACCAUAAAAUUUGUUUUAAUGUUAUUUUUUCUCGAUUUCAAACGUACAUGUAAUAGAUCUCUUCUACUAUUUGGAAAUUUUUCACCAUAAAAUAUUUUUUAAUAUUGACCGUUUGAAAUUCUUUUCUAAUAAUUUCGAAACCGGAAAAAAUAGUGUUGGAACUUUCUUCCAAUACAUUCGAAAUUAAUUGAAACUUCUUUCUAAUAAUUUCGAAACCGAAAAAUAAUGUUGAAACUUUCUUCGAAUAUAUUCAAAACUAAUUAUAACUUCUUUCCAAUAAUUUCGAAACCUAAAGAGGUAGUUUUUAAAACUUUCUUUCAAUAUUCGAAACUAAAAAGAUAAUUUUUAUUUUUGAUAUUUUUAAUGCAAAAAUUUGAGAAAAUUUUGAAACUUCUUCCGAAUAUUGUCAAAACUAAUUGAAACUUCCUUUAAUUAAUUUCGAAACCAAAAAAGUUAUUUUAAAACUUUCUUCCGAUAUAUGAAAUGUCACAUCCCGGUCCCAAAAAAAAAAAUGCUUAUAUAAUACUUUUGAAUGUAUUAAAAUAGUUUCCGGGAUUUUUAGAUUUAACAAAAAUAUUUUGUUUUAGGAUUUAUAAGGAAUUUGCGAAUAGUAAGGUGACCCUAUAAAGGAGAAAGGACAUGAAGGGGUAAAAAUAAAAGUCUCAGAAUAAUUUUUAGAUAUUUUAUAAAUUACCAGAGCGGAGAAAUAGUGAACAGAAGUACGGUCAGAAUUGUAUGAUUUUGCACCGAACUGUGAUUAUAAAAUCCAGUUAUUAGAAAAUAGGUGAAAAUAGAAAAGACACAAAAUGAGCCAAGAAUUUUCCUAGAGUAUCUAAAUAAAUUGUGGAACUCAUUUAUGAAUUUUCGGAAAUUUUACGAAGCUCAAGGAAGUUAAAAUGAAAAGGAAUAAAGGAGCCGGAUACCCAAGAUUUCCGGACUGCAAAAUGACCUUUAAACUAAACCAGCGGAAUUUCAGAAGGAAUACUGAAGAGAAGGUUAGUACGUUUAUGAUCUUUGGAGUCUCUAGAACAUUCCUAUAUUGAGUUUGAAGAAAAAUCUCGAGAUUAAGAGUGGACAGGGAUCAGUGGAAUAAUAUCAGACCGAUACAUCCCUAAGAAAAAGUGAAAUAUUUUCGGACUCCAAAUGAGCUCAUUUUAUAGUCAAAAAUUCCCAAAUAAUAUACUAGGAAUUAUUAUAUCAUCAGAAUUCGUCAACGAGAUCAAGAAUGGGGAGAUUUAAAUUAAGAUUUUAACAGAAGUAAUUAGCUUAAAUGGAUAAUCAUCCAGAAUUCUCCCGAAUGCAUGUUGGCCAAGUCAGGAGGUGACACAUGGCAAUUACUUAAAGAUAACUAACAUUUAACUUUCUAAAACACCGCCCCAUCAUCAGCUUUCAUUUCAUUUGGUCGAAGCAAGCAGUGAAGAUAAAGAAAAAGAAAAAGAAUUCAAGAAAAAUUCAUAGAAAAAGAUUUCUAGCUCAGAUUUUCGUGUUCUAUAGCUUGUUGGAAAGAUCUCUUCAAGACCUUUAAUUCAAGAGGUAUGCUUCUUAUUUUUGUAAUCAUUAGCGUGUUCAAAAAGAUGGUUGAUUCUAGCUAUGAAUAGUGAUGUUCUUGGUGGAAGAAUUUCUUUAAAUCCUAAAAUAAGUACUAGGAGAUUAUGGUGUUAUAAUAAGCAUGUUUACAUGUUUGGAUUAUUGUUUAAGCUUGUAAAGUGGUUGUUCUUGAUUGGGUUUGGAAGGAGGAUCUGGUAUAAGUAUUAUAUGGUGAUUUGGAGGUUGUAUAAUUGUUUGGGCUGAUGAUUAACAUAAGUUUAAUUAGGGAAACGUUAAGAUUAUAGCCGUUAUCAUGGCCAAGUUGAAAUAACAGCCGCUGUUACUGUUCAUCCGAACAGUUUAGUUUCUACUUUAAGAGGUUUAUUUAUAUGGAUGGCUAGAGUUUGAUUAGUAGAUCGCGUGAGCGCUUGAAGCAUGCAAAACGGAUUUACGGUUUAGAAGUUAUGGCCAUUUUAGUACAGGACGCGCAGAAUCCUAGUUUCCGUAAGAAAAUGAACUUUGAGGUUACAAUUCGGCUAGUUCAAAGAUGAUAUAAAUCAUGGAAUAAUUUGAGUAAAUACUAGGGACAAAUUGGGAGGUAUAUGAGUUGGUUUCGUAAGAAAAACUCGAAUGAUUUAUAAGUGAGAAGUGUCAGAACCUAAAGGUGUAAAUAGUAACAAUAAUACGUGAGACGAGAAACAGUUAGUACCAAAUCUCUUUAAAAUGAAAGGAUUGAUAAUAAGACUGAUUAGAAGGGACUUUAAGGGUAGGUAACACGUACACACACUAUGAUAUAGAGUUAUAAAGGAUUUUAAUGAUUAAUUAUGUCCCUUAUAGGUGCACAGAAAGGUGCAGAAGAACUUUAAGGACCAGGAAGUUGUAACUGAGUUGCUGAAGUAAGGUGAGUAUACAUCAACACUACUUAUAUCUAUGUGAUAUGCGAAUUACGUGCUUUUAUAUGCUGAAAGUGAUAUAUUAGAAUAUUGAUUCGACUAUGUGAUUCUAUACAUGACUGGAGUUCUUUGAUGUCAAUGUAGUGUGAUGAUAUAUCAAAGUACAUGUAUAUAUGGAAUGUGUAUUGACCUGUGAUUUCACGAACGAUACAUUAACAUAGAGUCUGCAUAUAGAAUAGGUCAUAUGCACACCCUACAUUCAUUUGAUAGUGAUAAAUUAAAAAGUCAAAGUGACAGUCACUUGUGUAAUGGCCACCUUUAUAUAUGGAAAUGGAACCUACGGGUAAUUACGGAGCAGACUAUAUGUCAGCCAUAGACGGGGCCGACUUGUGUCGGACAUAGACGGAGCCGAUUUCCAUAGUCGGACAUAGACGGAGCUGGCCAGACACACAUGGAUCCUUUGAGGGUACAUGUGGAAACACGGGCAUUAUACAGUGAACUGUUCACAAUAGAAAAAGAAAAAGAAACAGAGAUGCAUGCAUGCAUAGAUACAAGCUCAUACAUUCGUUGCAUACAUGAUUAACAAAAGUAAGUGAUUUAUGAUUAACUAAAGUUGAUGUAUAUUCAUUGAGUUGCGACUCAUGGAAAUCGCUCAAUUUUCCAGGAGAUGAAUAAUUAGUAGUGUGUUUUGUAUGAGUGCUCAGUGGAGAUUGUAGAUAGUGCCUAAGAGACGGUGGUCCAGCAGGAUGCUCCAGACUCCUCCAUCAGCCGAUGCACAUAUAUGUAGUUUGAGAGAUUGUGUUUGUGUACUCUAGACUUACUAAGUGUGCAAGAAAUCACGAAGAUAAAUUUAUGUUUAAAUUCUGAAUAUGUGUGGUGAAUAAGGAUGAUGGAAAUGUAUUGAAAUGAUAUGUUGCUUGGUAAAUGUUGUUGAAGUAGUUGAGAUUUUCUGUUCUGGUGAAGAUCAAGAUAUAGCCAAGCAAUAGCUGAUGGUUAUAUUAUCCACUUAUACAGGAUAAGAUAUUUCAUAAUAUUAUUAAAUUACAUGAUUUUGCUAGAAGUGCAUGAAAAUGAUUAUAUGGUACAAGGGUGUUACAUGAAAACUAAAAAGAUCAUUUUUAUUUUUGAUAUUUUUUAAUGUAAAAAAAAAAUCGGAAAAUUAGAAAAAUAUUAUGGAGUUCUAGAGCAACCACCUCAACGCCCCUCGUUUCUCAUUUGUAUAAGUAUAUUGAUUGUAUAUAUAUUAAAUUCUAACUGUUAACACGCUCAAUUUUUUAUUAAUUAAAGUAGGUGUACACUGCAACUUUCAAUUGAAGAUAGUUCAUUGUUAUAUUUUCAAAAUGCUCACACAUAUUAUAUUAGUCGAUGAAAUAAAUAUAACUAUAACAAAAUUUUUCUUGAAAGUUAAAAAAAUUUAAUAUAUGUAAUUUUUUUGAGGAUAGAUAUAUAAUUGAAACAGAAUCAAUAUAAUUAACUCAUCUAAAUUGCUCUCUGGUACUACUCUCUCACUUUUCCAAUAACUGAAACCCUGCAAAUAUUGAUAUUUAAAUGCUUCAUAAAUAUUUUAAUCCUAAUAUAGUAAUAUAUUUGAAAUCCUGGUAACCACCUCUAUCUUUUUAUUGUAGAUACAUCAUUCCUUGAAUAAGAUUCAUCUUGCCAAGAGAUACUUAUGCCAUCAAUUUUUACAUUUUCUCAAUGACAGCAUUACUUCCCUGCAUUUCCCUCGACGAAUAAAACACAGCACCAGCUCAAUGACAUCUCAUGAAUCUUGCUUUUCCCUAGACCAAGAGGUUUUGGAUAAAUAACAGUGUUAUCACUAUGGUCGAGGUAAGAGAGUAGUCAUUGUUAAUUCGUUGGAUGUUGACAGAUUUUGGUUGCUCAAAAAUUGGUCUGCUUCAAACAAAUCUCUCUCCAUGAAAAAACCAGGUUGCUUAGGAUGCGGCAGCUUCAUAUUACUGCUCAACAUCAGAACUACCUCUGACAUGACUGGCCUGUCCUUUGGAUCUUGUUGAACGCAAAGUAAUCCAAUUUGUAUAACUCGCAAGGCUUCAUAAUGGUUAUUGGGCUCCAAGAUCACUCCAUCAAUGAGUUCCAACAGUUUGCCUUGUUUGUAACUUAUCCAUGCCUAAAAUUUAAUUAUGCAACUUAUCAGUGGUAAGAAGCAUAUAGCAUGAGGAACGUCAUAGACACUUAGGCCCUGCUCUUGAGUUUUUUUAGGAGAGAAAGCAAGUGAAUGUAAGUGAAAGUUUGCAUCCCACUUUUGGAGUGAAAGUUUUGGAGUGAAAUUAUAUUAUAAUUGCAUCCAUUUUCACUUGUUUUCGUCCCUUUAAAAAACUCGGGAGCACAAACAUGAGUGAAAGUUAUAUAACUUUACUUCCUCCUCACUUGCUUUCCUCCCUCUUUAUAACUCGGGAGCAGGGCCUUAGUAUAUUUAUACUCACAUGCCCAAGUAGGUUAAAGCUGUGAUCAGGAUGAUUGAAUAAUCUGUUUUUCAUUCCACUUGCUAUCUCUACUAGCAAAACGCCAAAGCUGUAGACAUCGGAUUUAACAGAAAAUUGUCCAUCAAUAGCAUACUCCGGGGACAUGUAACCACUGCGAGAUGAG
rnacentral:lncRNA from 1 species